AACCUGGGAGGGGGGAAUUUGCAACAACAGUAAGAAAAUCGUCAUAGUGAGAGACAUCGACAAGCGCUUCAGUGCGUUGCCCAAUGCUGGUUUCCAGCUUGCUCGUCUUCUGGGGGCUACGACACUCUGCACGCCAGACUACUACCAGCUGCUUCCCAACGAUAAGCUGUUUAAGAUCACACAAUGUGUCGAGGUCACGAUCAGAGAGUACCUUACGUCCCUGGAAUUUAACGACACUGCAGGCGCGAAAAACUGCUUCUGGCGAAAAUACGCCGACUCAUUUCACAACGAUGCCCUUCCCAACAGCAUAAUCAA